rnacentral:rRNA from 1 species
CCUGUGACCAAGCGUGAGUGACGGUAAUGGUAAAGAAGCACCGGCUAACUACGUGCCAGCAGCCGCGGUGAUACGUAGGGUGCGAGCGUUGUCCGGAUUUAUUGGGCGUAAAGGGCUCGUAGGUGGUUGAUCGCGUCGGAAGUGUAAUCUUGGGGCUUAACCCUGAGCGUGCUUUCGAUACGGGUUGACUUGAGGAAGGUAGGGGAGGAUGGAAUUCCUGGUGGAGCGGUGGAAUGCGCAGAUAUCAGGAGGAACACCAGGGCGAAGGCGGUUCUCUGGGCCUUUCCUGACGCUGAGGAGCGAAAGCGUGGGGAGCGAACAGGCUUAGAUACCCUGGUAGUCCACGCUGUAAACGGUGGGUACUAGGUGUGGGGUCCAUUCCACGGGUUCCGCGCCGUAGCUAACGCUUUAAGUACCCCGCCUGGGGAGUACGGCCGCAAGGCUAAAACUCAAAUGAAUUGACGGAAUCG